rnacentral:rRNA from 1 species
UACGGAGGGUGCAAGCGUCAUCCGGAAUCAUUGGGUUUAAAGGGUCCGCAGGCGGGCUAUCAAGUCAGAGGUGAAAUCCCACAGCUUAACUGUGGAACUGCCUUUGAAACUGAUGGUCUUGAAUUAAGUGGGCGUUGGCGGAAUAUGACAUGUAGCGGUGAAAUGCAUAGAUAUGUCAUGGAACACCGAAAGCGAAGGCAGCUAACGAUACUUAUAUUGACGCUCAUGGACGAAAGCGUGGGUAGCGAACAGG